GACCGGGAGGGUGCAGCUGGGCUCUUCGCGGGGAGCGGGCGGGAGGCCUUCCUGUUACAUGUCGCAGCUGGGACACAGACGGCAGCGCUCCAGGGUCCACUUGCCGGCUUCGGUUCCCUCAGGCCCAGGACCAGGCUCCACACCGCUGUCGCGUCCCUUAGCCGUGUGGGCUGUAGCACAGAGGGGGCAAACACCUCCAGGGGCUUGUGCCAAGUAAUUACCAAGCAAAUUCCCGGCGAUUUCCUCUCCUCCCCCCGCCCCCCCGGGCAGUGCCCGCUGCGUGUUCCCUGAUUCGGCCCCCGGCUGUGCAAUCAGCUCCAGGUAACCUGCGGGGACCCGUAAUUGCUCUGGAGUUGCCUGCGAGUUUGCAAGGUGGACACGGAAUUGUAGUGCUGGUCCUCCCUCUGCACUGGACUGGAUUCUGCCAAAGUCAACCAAGCGCCUUCAGUUGCUGACUCUCGUCUCCAGGCCUGAUGUCUGGGAGCUCGUCUAAUUCUGCCACUUUAAGGGUCUACUCUGCAGUCCUCAAAGUUCAGAUGAUUCUUCCCCAAACCAUCAAAGACAGCCCUGGCUGUCUCUGAGUUCUUAUGCCCAUGAGGAUGACCUAUGAAUCCCAGAAAGAUACAGAAUUGAGAAUCACCAGAGAACUCUGUUCCAGGAAUCAAGUGAUUAAAGUUACAGUUCCAGUGUCAUCACUAAAUAGCAAGGUGACCUUGG